rnacentral:rRNA from 1 species
GACGAACGCUGGCGGCGUGCUUAACACAUGCAAGUCGAACGGAACGUCCCUGCUUUUGUGGGGUGCUCGAGUGGCGAACGGGUGAGUAACACGUGAGUAACCUGCCCUUGACUUUGGGAUAACUUCAGGAAACUGGGGCUAAUACCGGCUAGGAGCUCCUGCUGCUUGGUGGGGGUUGGAUAGUUUCGGCGGUUGGGGAUGGACUCGCGGCUUAUCAGCUUGUUGGUGGGGUAGUGGCUUACCAAGGCUUUGACGGGUAGCCGGCCUGAGAGGGUGACCGGCCACAUUGGGACUGAGAUACGGCCCAGACUCCUACGGGAGGCAGCAGUGGGGAAUAUUGCACAAUGGGCGGAAGCCUGAUGCAGCAACGCCGCGUGCGGGAUGACGGCCUUCGGGUUGUAAACCGCUUUCGCCUGUGACGAAGCGUGAGUGACGGUAAUGGGUAAAGAAGCACCGGCUAACUACGUG